rnacentral:rRNA from 1 species
CCGAUGGAGGGGGAUAACUACUGGAACGGUAGCUAAUACCGCAUAACGUCGCAAGACCAAAGAGGGGGACCUUGGGCCUCUUGCCAUCGGAUGUGCCCAGAUGGGAUUAGCUAGUAGGUGGGGUAACGGCUCACCUAGGCGACGAUCCCUAGCUGGUCUGAGAGGAUGACCAGCCACACUGGAACUGAGACACGGUCCAG